AGGUUGCCCAUGGUGUGUUCA
rnacentral:miRNA from 1 species